UCUUGAACUGAGGCCAUCAUCAUCUUGACAACACCUCAAGUCCAAGAGUAGAGAGAGGCUCACCUUCAAACAGAAGAGUAAGUGUAUCUGCAAAGAUGACUGCAGCUCUCCGAUCACUCAUGUCUGUCCCCAGCACCAUGAGCAGAUUCUCCUCAGCUUUACUGGCCACCUAAAAAAGGAGAAGACCCACAUACGUUUCUCAGACAGGCCAGCCUUACACCAGCAAGGAGAGCUUCCCACAGCCCGGAUUCCCCGACUGAAGGCUCCCACUCCCUAGAUCCUCCAUGAAAAAGAAGAGGCUCGGCCCCGCACCUCCUCGCCGCAGAGCCGUUCGUAUACAGCCUCCAGCUCCUGC